CCUACGGGAGACUGCAGUGAGGAAUAUUGGUCAAUGGGCGCAAGCCUGAACCAGCCAAGUCGCGUGAGGGAUGACGGUCCUAUGGAUUGUAAACCUCUUUUGUCGGGGAGCAAGGCCCGCCACGUGUGGCGGGAAGGAGAGUACCCGAAGAAAAAGCAUCGGCUAACUCCGUGCCAGCAGCCGCGGUAAUACGGAGGAUGCGAGCGUUAUCCGGAUUUAUUGGGUUUAAAGGGUGUGUAGGCGGAAGGUUAAGUCAGCGGUCAAAUGUCGGUGCUCAACACCGGCCUGCCGUUGAAACUGGUCGUCUUGAGUGAGCGAGAAGUAUGCGGAAUGCGUGGUGUAGCGGUGAAAUGCAUAGAUAUCACGCAGAACUACGAUUGCGAAGGCAGCAUACCGGCGCUCAACUGACGCUGAGGCACGAAAGCGUGGGGAUCGAACAGGAUUAGAUACCCGUGUAGUC
rnacentral:rRNA from 1 species